UUUCCGUAGGUGAACCUGCGGAAGGAUCAUUAUUGAAUAAACUUGGUUGGGUUGAUGCUGGCCUCUCGGGGCAUGUGCACGCCUACCGCCAUUUUUACCACCUGUGCACCUUUUGUAGACCUGGAUAUCUCUCGAGGAAACUCGGUUUGAGGACUGCUGUGCGUAAGCCAGCUUUCCUUGCAUUUCCGGUCUAUGUUUUCAUAUACCCCAUUAGAAUGUUAUAGAAUGUCAUUAAUGGGCUUCAUUGCCUUUAAAAUUAAUACAACUUUCAACAACGGAUCUCUUGGCUCUC
rnacentral:misc_RNA from 1 species